UCUACACACAAUAUCUCAUAAUGACAAAGCAAACACAGGUUUUUCAGAAAUUUUUGCAAAGUUGUAAAAACAAAACUAAAACAGAAAUACCUCUCACACUUCGGUUGAGUCUUACAUCUAAUGUCACCAUGAAAUAGGUUGGAACAGUCUGAACACAACAUUUAGAAAUACUAUAAAGACCAGGUAGGUCUGAAUCUUUCUACAUCAGAAUGAUGAGAGUAAAAUGGAACCAUUGACAACUCCUCAGUUUCUGUCUUCAUCUGACUAAGAUAUUUAUAAAACACAAGACCAAAGUCUAGACAUGAAGGCAGCUUUAGAAAAUGAACAUCAAGAUCCCCCUAAUUCUAAAAGUGAAUUUGUCCUAAUCAUUUCUGAGAUCUAUUUGAAAACUAAACACAAGCUUUCCAAAUACAAAGGGAAGUUCCUUCCUGUUUUGCAUGUACCAAAUAGCAUUCAUACAGGAUGAUUUUGAGUAAACAAUUAUUCUCCUUUUCUACCACAGAGGGAGUUUGGGUGACAACAGGAGAGACGGGUCCUGUUCCCUGGCACAGUAGGCAUUGUGCCAUCCGAUACCCGACUGAUUGAGGAUGGUAUUAAACAGCACAAUGGGGACAUAGGCACAACAAUGCUUCUCUCCUACUCUGUAAGACAGGCAGGAAAGCUGCAUGCCAAUCAAACUGUAGAAAUAAUUAUGCAAAUAGGGGAUAGUCUGAGCAGGUUAUAAUUACAGAACAGAACAUAUGGCAAUUAUUAUCACAAUGUGAUGAUAGUUCUACAGUGAUGGUGUAAUUUCUAACUGUUGUUGACAAAUAUUGCAAUUAACUGAGUAAAAAUAGCAGAGUGUCAUUGAUUGUGCUUACAAAAUGUAGUAGGAGAAAUGACAACAGAAAACAAUUUGUAGGUGGCUAAUCUUAUUGGUUGUAUGGAUUAUCUGGCUAUUGCAUUUGUGUGCAUGUGGUCUGGUCCAUUUCUUACUCAGUGAGCCUGUCUAACCUGGGUUUUCUUUGCGCAAAAUGAUCAUUAUCUGGCUAAUAAUGUCCUGGCAUGUGUUAGAAAUGCCAGGGACGAUUUCGGUUCCCAGUGUGUGUGUGUGUAUAAAACAGGUCCCCACAGUAGGUUACAUUGGACUCUCUGGGUCUGGGGGGGGAUUGAGAUCCUGAGAUAAGAGCUUUCAUUUCAAAAUCAGUUUUUCAUGUAAAAUAGAGACUGAAUUAGUCUAUGCGCAACAUUUAGUAUGUUUAAAAAAAAAAGACAAGUCAUUGCCCAGCUGUUGAGCAGCUGGUGGGGUAGAUAGUGACAGGGUGUCUCACCCAGAGCUGCGGAACAGCUGUAUGCAUCUGCACUGGCACUGCUAUCGUUACUGCUCUCCAUGCGAGGAAAACACGGGAACGACCAAUCAAAUCCAUAUAAACCACAGACAGGGCUCUGUGCUUUCACAACAUGAGGAUUUUUCACAAGAGAUUAGCAUUUUACGCGUAAGUUUAAUCAUUGUAAAAGUGCCUUUUAGAGGCACGGCCGCCAAAAAAAACGCUCGUGUGCAUCUGCGCGUUGAAGGUGGACAAUGCGCAUUACCAAAUGUAUAAUGCAUUCACGUUGCAGUUUUUAUACCCUCGCAUCAGAAGUCAAGCAUAUUUUCUGCACACAUACAAUGCAGUGACACAUUAGUAAUAUAAACCUGGAAUGCACAUUAGGUUUAGGCUAAAGUCCUCAGUCUAUAAGCCUAUUUUUCAUGAGAAAAGUACUGAGCCAAAUAAAACAAACAAAGAACGUAAAGGACACAAAAAGACAACAAAAGUUUAGCAAAAACACACAUUACCGUCUUCCUAUGUAGGGACAGGCGCAGUCAAUGAGAUGGUGUGUCCUUUGCACACUCGAAGACAGUACGCGUCCGACAGAAAUAUUGGUCCCGUUUUACACUGUCUCGAGCAAAGCCGACGGUUAGCAGGACUCCGGUGCCUUUUUAUUGGCUCACCAUGGCUCGCUCUGCCCUCCCUUCUUUGCCUGGGUUCGCGUGCGCAACAACAGCGUGCGCAACAGCUUCUCCAUGGAGCUCUCACUUGACAAAGGUUAAUUCGUUCAUUUAAAUAGCUUUAUUUUACCUCUUCAACAUUUACUUAUCUAAAUAAAUUUAUAUUUGAUAUUCCACGUGCCAUUUAUAGGCUACUCUCGCAUAACUUAUUUUUGGUUGGGGAUUACACAAUCAAGGCACAUCAGUUUGUUUUUUCUCACAGCAAUUGUUGUUCUCAAAAUAUCUCUGAAAUAGCCUAUCAAUAAUCAACAAUAUAGACCAUCGACUGUGUAUUUUUAUUUCAAUCAAUUAUUGAGUCUGAGUAUCUGACAAAACUAUAAACAUAGGCCAGCUAACAUUGUAGGCUAUGAAGUCCCCGUCAACAUGCAAAAAUCUAAACCAAUUUUUCCUUUAAUUUAGCCCGAGGUGAUUUUGGAAUGUCUACUCUACACAGCCUUGGAGAGCAACAGAGCGCAAUUUCCAUUCCAAGAAUAAUAAACUACAACAAAUGUGUUGCCUGUGGUGAUUCUCAAUAUCUUCUACUUCUGUCAUAAAUUCUACUGCACUGAACAAAAAAUAUGAACGCAACAUGUGUAGUGUUGGUCCCAUGUUUCAUGAGCUGAAAUAAAAGAUCCCAGAAAUGUUCCAUAUGCACAAAAAGCUUAUUUCUCUCAAAUUUUGUGAACACAUUUGUUUACAUCCCUGUUAGUGAACAUUUCUAAUUUACCACAAUAAUCCAUCCAUCUGACAGAUGUGGUAUAUUAAGAAGCUGAUUAAAAAGGCAUGAUAAUUACACAGGUGCACCUUAAUAAAAGGCCACUAAAAUCUGUCACACAACACAAUGCCACAGAGAUGUCUCAAGUUGAGGGAGCAUGCAAUUGGCAUGCUGACUGCAGGAGUUUCCACCAGAGCUCAUGACAAAGAAUUCAAUAUUAAUUUCUCUACCAUAAGCCGCUUCCAAUGUUGUUUUAGAGAAUUUGGCAGUAUGUCCAACCAGCCUCAAAACCGCAGACCAGGUGUAUGGCGUCAUGUGGGAGAGUGGUUUGCUGAUGUCAAUGUUGUGAACAGAGUGUCCCAUGGUGACGGUGUGGUUAUGUUAUGGGCAGGCAUAAGCUACAGACAACAAACACAAUAACAUUUUAUCGAUGGCAAUUUGACUGCAGAGAUACCUUGACGAGAUCCCGAGGCCCAUUGCGUUGCCCUUCUUUUAUUUUAAGGUAUCUGUAACCAACAGAUGCAUAUAUGUAUUCCCAGUCAUGUGAAAUCCAUAGAUUAGGGUUUAAUUAAUUUAAUUCCAUUGACUGAUUUACUUAUAUGACAUGUAACUCAGUAAAGUUACAUUUGGGCUCCCGUCCGGGUUAGGCCGUCAUUGUAAAUAAGCAUUUGUUCUUAACUGGACUUUCCUAGUUAAAUAAAAAAUAUUUUGUUGUUGUUGCAUGAUGCGUUUGUAUUUUUGUUCAGUAUAGUUUGAAAUGCGUGUUGCACAUCUCAUUUAGCCUCACCUGAGAUUGAUGUGUAAAGCCCAAAUAUCCAGAAUCUCCACUGCCAUCUUGAGGAAGUUGGAACCACGAGGUGGAGUCUGCAUCUAGGGUGGCGUACAGUAGGCCUCAUCAUGUUCCAGAUCAACCUAAUGAAACCUAAUGUCAUCAAAUGAAAUGCAUCCCUAAAUUCUAUUCCACAAUGAGAGAUAAUUGUGUCGGUUCUAUAUUAGAUGUCCAUUUGGUAAUUCCACAGCAUAGCGCUGCAUAAGAUCCUGACAUGCUGAUGUGUGCCCAAAAUAAACAUCAUAAAAGAAAGAUACAAAUAUUUUAUUUGUGGAAGGUAAAACAUGUUAACGUGUGUGUUUAGAGACAGUCAAGCCAUUGAGGCUUCAUAUAUAUAAAGUAGAUCUGACAAGGACUACAACAAGUCGUAUUAUUCCCCUAGAGACCUGUACCUGGAAGUCAGAGUGAAAUAGUACUUGGUAUUAUGUACAGACCAUUACACACUGAACACACACUAUCUGGUGAACAGUGAGAGAAGAGUCUUCCUACUGUACACACUGUGCCUCAUCGUUUGGCUUGUAAUGAGAGGACACAGCGUCUGCUUCUGCAAUCAGCGUCUGCUUCUGCAAACAACUAUGGCCAGUACAUCAGAUUAACCAACUCUGUACACAUUGUGCUGGAGAUCAGAGGUGUUGAUUGGAUGUGCCCAGCCUGGUCAGUCUGCACUGCAGAGAUAGGACCACAGUAUACUGUCCAGUAACCACACGGUCAACUCCACUAGAAUGUCAUUUCAGAUUGCAAGUGUCCUGUCACAUGUAGUGUAUCAACUAUUUAAUACGAUGUUAUUACUAACUAUUUUCCAGAAGGAAUGUUUGUCCAGCUGUUUUCUCUCUCCAAGUCCCUGAAGCCAACAUCAUGGCAAUUAUUAUACGUGCAUUUCUGACCCUCCAUUAAAUUAUGUCUGAGGUUACGAAUACUGAGUUUUCGCCCCUGCCCCGCCCCUCCGGGAACUUCUUUCACAAAGCUAAGGAUCCAAAUCACAUUCUGCACGUGUUCUCUUUUUACUAUAUACGCUUUACCAAAAAGGAUGAGACGAGGGGUUUUACCCAGCCCAAAAUCUGUACACACCCUGAGAACUCUGUUUGCACAUUACAUCGCUAUGGACUGUGUGUUCGUGUCUAGCUUGUUGAUAUGUUGUGUACAUCUAGUAGGCUAACUCCACUCCUGACAAAAGAACAUGAAAACUCUAGACUGCCUGUUACGUCGUGCUUAUGUUUACCUUCUGUUACAAAAGACAAAGAACUACAUUUGCUUGAACAAGUGGCAGCGGAGUCAUGGGGUGAGUGAUCACAGAGCAGCAGCUGGAAGGACUCGGGGAGGGGUAGGGCACGCAGCGGAUCUUACACAUGUGCAGAAAUCUCUGUAUAUUUAGUCCAAAACUCCUGUGUUCCAGAAAAUCCAGAACCGCAGCCACUCUGUUCGAAGUUGAAUUAUCACUGUUAGUAACUCCCCUAAUAAUAAAACGUCAAUAAUAGCAAUAAUCACACUUUAAACGUAACCUCACACCCUGCUCUGCUGAUGAUCCCUGAUUGAUUAGUUCCCCUAGAUCCAUCAUUAGUCUUCACCCUGUAGGCUGAUAAUCAAUCACUUGUUCACAACUUAACUGUAUCCAAAAGGCCUGAGGGGAAAUCGAUAGUGCUUUUAGGUGACAGUAACACCCUAACUAAUCAAUAUUUGAUCAGUAAAUUCCCAUACACAGUGUGUCUGUGGCACAAAAAAGAAACAAACAUUUUCCUCCACACAGCUCUAUUGAACUCCACAUGAGUACAAGCUGAUAGUUUAGAAUGUUCACCACGAAACAUACAAGCAUUGUCUUACGUCAGGUGGCGUCAAUCCUACGUCACCCCCGACUGACAGUCAACGCAGACGAUUAGUUACACUAUCUGCCUUGAGACAAUGACAUACAAGAACACACAAAGUACAUCCAGAUACACAGCCGUCGGUUCAAAUAUACAGUCUGAAUGUGUCUCCUAUCAAACAUGACUGUUGCCCUAGCAACAACAGCCCAUUCGCCUGUUUCUUAGAAUUGAACCGUCUCAGUUAUGUACUGCAGUCAAAGGCCUGAUUGUGCCCCAUCUUCAUCAAUUACCCACCAGCCAUUGUGAUGGGUUACUUAGAAAAGGUGUCUCGAUUUUGCAGUAGUCAAAUGGCAAACCCCCCUUCAAGCUUAAAAAUAAGUCAUAUAAAUCUCCAACACGACCAUCCACAAAAAGUGUGAAACACAUUCCCUGGAUAUAUCAUUAGGAAUAGUGUUUCCACAUAAGAGCGCUUCCAAAGAAAGUUAAAUCAAUUCCAGCGCAAACAAACCCACAAACCAAAUACACCCAAAUUAAACUAGGGCUUAGCUGUUUCAAGCUCAUCCAUUGUAAUGCCAUUAUAAAUAGUCAAACAGUAAGACUAACUGGGGUUCUAACUGAAGCAUGUCUUUAGAUAAGAGCACGUGUGAAGUUAUAACAGAGUUUCACUGCUCAACCAUGUAACUCUCUCGUUGUGAUAUUAGAAACAGUGAGGUAUAUGACUUGUAUAUUCUUAACAGAAUUUGGUAUACGUAAACAAUGCCUUUACAUUGAUGACCUAGUUCUGACCUAUUUUUAUUUUAAAAACAGCCGUCUUCUACAUUUGUAAUAUAAUGGUUGUCAGUAUCACACACCCUGAGUACACUGAACUUAGAGAAGGAGUUUGAGCAACUACAGCAGUUACCUUCAACCAGCAGACCCAAUGAGUUCCCCCAACCCAAGCCCUCACCCUGGAGCUAUAGGCUGCAGACACACCACUCUAGCCUGCCCCAUGCUGGAGGUUCCUGUCAUAGCUGGCUAAAAUACACUAGGUCUUAGAUGGCUCUGAACGGUCGUUCUGGACCAGACGUAGGUCAUACAGCUGUGAGGUGGAGGCUAUAUGCAGGUCUCUGAGCCGUCUCAGUCCAGG
ensembl:lncRNA